rnacentral:rRNA from 1 species
AUACGUAUGUCGCAAGCGUUAUCCGGAUUUAUUGGGCGUAAAGCGCGUCUAGGCGGCUUAGUAAGUCUGAUGUGAAAAUGCGGGGCUCAACCCCGUAUUGCGUUGGAAACUGCUAAACUAGAGUACUGGAGAGGUAGGCGGAACUACAAGUGUAGAGGUGAAAUUCGUAGAUAUUUGUAGGAAUGCCGAUGGGGAAGCCAGCCUACUGGACAGAUACUGACGCUAAAGUGCGAAAGCGUGGGUAGCAAACAGGAUUAGAUACCCUGGUAGUCCACGCCGUAAACGAUGAUUACUAGGUGUUGGGGGUCGAACCUCAGCGCCCAAGCUAACGCGAUAAGUAAUCCGCCUGGGGAGUACGUACGCAAGUAUGAAACUUAAAGGAAUUGGCGGGG